CUCUAUUAGAUAUAAUUAAUAGUAAGAUCUGCUCAAUGAAUAUUUCAAUAGCCGCAAUUCGUGCUAAGGUAGCAUAAUAAUUUGUCUUUUAAAUGGGGACCAGAACAAAAGAUUUAACAUCUUAAUUAUUUUUUUUAUUUAAAAAUUUAAAUUUAUUUUAAAAGUUAAAAAACUUUUAUAGUCAAAAAAGACGACAAGACCCUAUUGAACUUAACUUAAGUUAAACUGGGGUAGUUAAUUAAUUAUUAUUUUAAUUUAUAUUAUUACAUAAAAAGCCUUACAAUUGAUAAAUCAGUUACCAUAGGGAUAACAGCGUAAUUUUAUUUUAAAGAUCUUAUUGAAAAUAAAGAUUGCGACCUCGAUGUUGAAUUAAUAACCUAUUUUUAAAGCAAAGUUUAAAACAGGAAGUCUGUUCGACUUUUAAACAAUUACAU
rnacentral:rRNA from 1 species